CUGUUCGGGCAUUAGCCAGCUGCAGUUUGCUUACCCAGAACGAAGAGGGCAGACAAAGAAGGACCCGUGUAACUGCCCAAAUUAUGUUCACUGGUAUGGGCAGUGGGGGGGUUCCUCUCCUUUCCUUUCCACUUCAGGAUGCCAUCAGCUCCUCUUUUUACCAUCAUUUGGUGAAACAGAAAAAUGAACUUGUUGGACUCUAUGGGCUCCAAAGUCUGACCCCUGAAGUACAAUUUCUAACAGAAUAAGCUGACUUAAUUUGAGAUAAGAAGUCAUCACGUACAAAGCAGACAAGAUAUGAUGCUGAUUCCAGUACUAAUACCUCAAUUAAAUGGAAGGUAUAAUUGUAAAAAUUAAAACUCAUUACUCCCUCUUCAA